ACUCAAAGGAAUAGACGGGGGCCCGCACAAGCAGUGGAGCAUGUGGUUUAAUUCGAAGCAACGCGAAGAACCUUACCGGGGAUUGACAUCAUGUCGAACUUGGUAGAAAUACCGAGGUGCCUACGGGAGCGACAAGACAGGUGGUGCAUGGUUGUCGUCAGCUCGUGUCGUGAGAUGUUGGGUUAAGUCCCGCAACGAGCGCAACCCCUAUGCUUAGUUGCUAGCACGUCAAGGUGAGCACUCUAAGCAGACUGCCACAGAGAAUGUGGAGGAAGGUGGGGACGACGUCAAAUCCUCAUGCCCUUCAUACCCCGGGCUACACACGUGCUACAAUGGCCUGUACAGCGGGAAGCGAAGGAGCGAUCUGGAGCGAAUCUCUGAAAGCAGGUCUCAGUUCGGAUUGCAGGCUGCAACUCGCCUGCAUGAAGUCGGAAUUGCUAGUAAUCACGGAUCAUCACGCCGUGGUGAAUGCGUUCCCGGGCCUUGUACACACCGCCCGU
rnacentral:rRNA from 1 species